rnacentral:lncRNA from 1 species
AUGACAAUCAGCACUAAACAUCCUAGAAUGAAGCCCAACAUUUAUUUAUUUAUUUAUUUUCAAUGCUUUUCAAGCAUAUAAUAGUAACUUGUUAUUAUCCAUUAAAUUUAAAAAAUUAGCGUUCACUAAUUUAAAGCCAGGUUACUAUUAUUGAUUUCUUUAAAUAUCAAUUUCAGCCCCAUUCUACUAGAUAUUCUUCUUACCAUAUCUCUAAAUAGUCCUUUAGUAAGCAGAUCCGUUAAAUUAUUACCAGACUUCAUGUAGACAAUAGUAAUGAGUCCACUCAAGAUUAUUUCUCGAAUAUAUUCAUGUCGAAGAAUUAUACAUUUAGACUUAUCAUUAUAAAUAUUACUAUAUGCUUUAGGAUAGCAUUGAUUGUGGCCAUAACUCUAUUUCUGACAAUAAAUUUUUUAGACAUUUUGCUUCUUUGCCCAUAGUAGAUAAUGCUAUAAAUUCUGACUCCAUGGUUGAAUAUAAAAUACAUGUUUACUUCUCAGAGGCCCA